UCCUUUCGCAUUUUUCCUGUCACUUGCUCUUUUCCCUACUUGUCUCCAAUGUGUCUGGCCCCAGAGAGCUGCAGCUGUGCUGUGGUCAGCAGGAAUCCCUUUCCAUUCUUGGGGAGGUUCAGUCUGCUGAGCACCUUAACAAUCCACUGUCUAGAUGACACAUGCUGAGGCAGAGUAUAUUAAGGCACUCAGAAUACCAAUGUGGGCCAAAGUGCAGCUUCUCAAUGCAGCUCCAUACCCAUGAAGUGAGUGGUGGACCCUCUCACACGGCUUCUUAGAAGACUAUUGAAUUGAGAUGACUAAUAGGACAGAGGAUGAGAUGGCUGGAUGGCAUCACCGACUCGAUGGACAUGAGUCUGAGUGAACUCCAGGAGUUGGUGAUGGACAGGGAGGCCUGGCGUGCUGCGAUUCAUGGGGUCACACAGAGUUAGACACGACUGAGCGACUGAACUGAGCUGAACUGAAUAGGAACUUAAGGUUUUGUACCCUCUCUGCUUGUUAGGGACAACAGAGAUUCAGAUAGUGAUUUCUGAAGUUGUCUGAACCUUGUAUCCUGCUCACUGCAUAGUCAGGGAGCCACCACUAGUGGUUGUUUCCGGGACGAGAUGGGUGUUUCACGGGAGAUUUCAAUUAGGAUAUGGUAUGGGUGUAGUCUGGAGGUUUUUUAAAAAGCUGCAUACAUCCACUUGCUCAAAAUGAUAGCUUUUUAUUUCAGGUUCAGAGAGACAGAGCCCCAAGUCUAGGAGGAUCAUAUUCAGCUCACAGCUGCAGUUCUCAGAUUUCACUGAUGAGGCAAACCCAGCCCUCUUCUGCCUGCCUACCCCACCCCAUUAAAACUCUUAAAGCAAUAA